rnacentral:rRNA from 1 species
UGGUCAAGUUAUUAAGGGUGCAGGGCGGAUGCCUUGGCACUAGGAGCCGAUGAAGGACGUGAUAAGCUGCGAUAAGCUUCGGGGAGUUGCACGUAAACUUUGAUCCGAAGAUUUCCGAAUGAGGAAACUCACUUAGAGUAAUGUCUAAGUAUCAUUAAGUGAAUACAUAGCUUAAUGAGGGGAACUCAGGGAACUGAAACAUCUAAGUACCUGAAGGAAGAGAAAGAAAUUCGAUUCCGUAAGUAGCGGCGAGCGAACGCGGAUUAGCCAAAAACAAUAAAGUUGACUUGAUUGGGGUUGAGGACAUAUCAUAACGAAGAGGUAUCGUAAUUGAAGAGGUUUGGAAAGACCCACCACAGAAGGUAAUAGUCCUGUAUGUUAAACGAGAAGACUUUAGAUAUGAUCCAGAGUACCACGGGACACGUGAAACCCUGUGGGAAGCAGGAGGGACCACCCUCCAAGGCUAAAUACUACCUAGUGACCGAUAGCGUAUAGUACCGUGAGGGAAAGGUGAAAAGAACCCCGGGAGGGGAGUGAAAUAGAACCUGAAACCCUGCACUUACAAGCGGUGGAAGCACAUUUCUUGUGUGACCGCGUACUUUUUGUAGAACGGGCCAACGAGUUACGUUAAGUAGCAAGGUUAAGAACUUAAGGUG